rnacentral:tRNA from 1 species
GCCAGUGUGGUAUAGUGGUUUGAACAUUGGACUGUGACUCUGGAGACAGGGUUCAAAUCCCUAUUCAGCCA